CCGCCGCCGCCGCCGCGCGCCGCUCCCAGGCUCCCUCCCCGCGCGCCGGCCGGGCUGUGGGGGGCUGCGGGCCGGAGCGGUGCGGGCGGGCUAGGGGCGCGCGCGGCAGUCGGCGCCGGAGACCCGACCCUCGGCCGCGAGGGAUGUUGCUGGCCUCUGCUCUUCUAAGACUUCAGCUGCAGAACCCACGCGUGAACCCUCCUAGGGCUCUGGAGAAGAUCUAAUGGGAGCUUGAGUGUGGAAGCUCUUUGGAAACCAUGAAGCACCCUGUAAAAG